rnacentral:rRNA from 1 species
GACGAACGCUGGCGGCGUGCUUAACACAUGCAAGUCGAACGGAAAGGCCCUGCUUUUGUGGGGUGCUCGAGUGGCGAACGGGUGAGUAACACGUGAGUAACCUGCCCUUGACUUUGGGAUAACUUCAGGAAACUGGGGCUAAUACCGGAUAGGAGCUCCUGCUGCAUGGUGGGGGUUGGAAAGUUUCGGCGGUUGGGGAUGGACUCGCGGCUUAUCAGCUUGUUGGUGGGGUAGUGGCUUACCAAGGCUUUGACGGGUAGCCGGCCUGAGAGGGUGACCGGCCACAUUGGGACUGAGAUACGGCCCAGACUCCUACGGGAGGCAGCAGUGGGGAAUAUUGCACAGUGGGCGGAAGCCUGAUGCAGCAACGCCGCGUGCGGGAUGACGGCCUUCGGGUUGUAAACCGCUUUCGCCUGUGACGAAGCGUGAGUGACGGUAAUGGGUAAAGGAGCACCGGCUAACUACGUG